GGCACUGUGGCUGAGCGGACAAAGCGACACAUUAGAGUGACUUAUAUAGCAUGAACUGCUUUAGAACAAAGGUGUUCAGGCGGGUUCGACUCCCGCCAGUGCUG
rfam:Stereum hirsutum FP-91666 SS1 unplaced genomic scaffold STEHIscaffold_3, whole genome shotgun sequence.